ACGUAGGGAGCGAGCGUUGUCCGGAUUCAUUGGGCGUAAAGAGCGCGCAGGCGGUUUGGUAAGUCGGAUGUGAAAUCUCCGGGCCUAACCCGGAAAGUGCGGAGGGGACUGCUCGGCUAGAGGAUGGGAGAGGAGCGCGGAAUUCCCGGUGUAGCGGUGAAAUGCGUAGAGAUCGGGAGGAAGGCCGGUGGCGAAGGCGGCGCUCUGGAACAUUUCUGACGCUGAGGCUCGAAAGCGUGGGGAGCAAACAGGA
rnacentral:rRNA from 1 species